UACGAGGGGUGCGAGCGUUAUUCGGAAUCAUUGGGCGUACAGGGUGCGUAGACGGUAUAUUAAGUCAACUGUUAAAUUCCCCGGCCUAACUGGGGGCAUGCAGUAGAUACUGAUGUGCUAGAGGGUGGAAGAGAGAAGUGGAAUUCUCGGAGUAGCGGUAAAAUGCGUAGAUCUCGAGAGGAACACCGAUGGCGAAGGCAGCUUCUUGGUCCAUACCUGACGUUGAGGCACGAAAGCGUGGGGAGCAAACAGGAUUAGAUACCCUGGUAGUCCACGCCGUAAACGAUGAUCACUAGACGUUAGUUCUCUUUAAGGGAAUUAGUGUCGUAGCUAACGCGUUAAGUGAUUCGCCUGGGGACUACGGUCGCAAGACUAAA
rnacentral:rRNA from 1 species